rnacentral:lncRNA from 1 species
AAAAUAACUGGCCUGCACUCUUCAAAAAUGUCAAGAUCAAUAAAGACAGAGAAACGUUAAGAAAGUGUUCCAGAUUAAAGAAGACUAAAGAGAGGAGAUGCAUGCUGAAGUAAUUAGCAGUAAUAGACAUGACGUCUGCAACUUAUCCUCAAAUGAUGCAUAAAAUGUAAGGAAAAAACAAAACAAAUCUCACAAGACCUACAAGCCCUCAAGAAAAGACAGCAUUUCCCAAUGUACAGAGCACAGACUAGGGCAUGUGCAAGAGAGGCUGAACCACUGCGGACUAAAUCAAUGGAAAGCAAAGGCGAAGAUCUCUCAAGGCCAGCAGAUUCCCAAAAGGGCAGAAUAAGGAGCUGGGGGUAAAGAAGACGGAGUCACAUGCCAGAAGUCCUGAUACCCGGUGUCUGCAGAUCCACCCUUACCUAAAAGGAAAAUAAAAGUCAGGAGCCAACCUCGACCAGCAGAACCACAGAGAAUUUAGGGCAUGCUCAUCCCACAACCACUGCACUCAGAGGGGCUUUGCAGAGAUUCAGCCAGGCCUGUGACUCAGGGGUCAAGCCGUGAUAGCAAAUUCACAGCUGGGACACCUCCAUCUUUAACACCUGGGACUAAAACUGCCACUGGGACAAUAAAGGGGAAACAAGCCCUCUAGAGCCCUUCUGGCCAAGGGUGUGGAGAAUCCUCUUCUGCAGAUACCUGUGGAGGUGAUUCAAGGUGUGAUACUCCCAGCUUUGCCAUCCCCGACACAAGUCCCCAGGGGAAGGUCAUUUAAUUCCACAGCACCUGGGAGCUUAGAGAAGCUGCUGAGCUCUUUGUGCUCUGGG